rnacentral:rRNA from 1 species
AUGAUAAGAGGUCCAGCCUGCCCAGUGAACUUUUAACGGCCGCGGUACCCUAACCGCGCGAAGGUAGCAUAAUCACUUGGUUCUUUAAAUGGGGACUUGUAUCAACGGCAUCACGAGGGUUUUACUGUCUCCUCUUUUUAAUCAGUGAAAUUGAUCUUCCCGUGAAGAAGCGGGAAUACCCCUAUAAGACGAGAAGACCCCAUGGAGCUUUAAACCAAAUAGCAACUUAACUAUAUAUCCCCCCAUAGUUCCAUAAAGCCAUGCUACAAGGUUUUUGGUUGGGGUGACCGCGGAGUAAAAUGUAACCUCCACGACGGAAAGGCCACAAUCUUUAUUUAAGAACCACAAUUCUAAAAACUAGCACACUAACGUACACUGACCCGACAAUCGAUCAACGGACCAAGUUACCCUGGGGAUAACAGCGCAAUCUACUUCGAGAGCCCAUAUCGACAAGUAGGCUUACGACCUCGAUGUUGGAUCAGGGUAUCCCAGUGGUGCAGCCGCUAACUGAAGGUUCGUUUGUUCAACGAUUAAAACCC